rnacentral:rRNA from 1 species
GUAACGGCUCACCAGGCGACGACGGGUAGCCGCCUGAAAGGUGACCGCCACACUGGGACUGAGACACGGCCCAGACUCCUACGGGAGGCAGCAGUGGGAAUAUUGCACAAUGGGCGCAAGCCUGAUGCAGCGACGCCGCGUGAGGGAUGACGGCCUUCGAGUUGUAACCUCUUUCAGCAGGGAGAAGCGAAAGUGACGGUACCUGCAGAAGAAGCGCCGGCUAACUACGUGCCAGCAGCCGCGGUAAUACGUAGGGCGCGAGCGUUGUCCGGAAUUAUUGGGCGUAAAGAGCUUGUAGGCGGUUUGUCGCGUCUGCUGUGAAAGCCCGGGGCUUAACCCCGGGUUUGCAGUGGGUACGGGCAGACUAGAGUGCAGUAGGGGAGACUGGAAUUCCUGGUGUAGCGGUGAAAUGCGCAGAUAUCAGGAGGAACACCAAUGGCGAAGGCAGGUCUCUGGGCUGUAACUGACGCUGAGAAGCGAAAGCAUGGGGAGCGAACAGGAUUAGAUACCCUGGUAGUCCAUGCCGUAAACGUUGGGCACUAGGUGUGGGGAACAUUCCACGUUUUCCGCGCCGUAGCUAACGCAUUAAGUGCCCCGCCUGGGGAGUACGGCCGCAAGGCUAAAACUCAAAGAAAUUGACGGGGGCCCGCACAAGCGGCGGAGCAUGCGGAUUAAUUCGAUGCAACGCGAAGAACCUUACCAAGGCUUGACAUAUACUGGACCGCUCUAGAGAUAGAGUUUCCCUUUUAGGGCUGGUAUACAGGUGGUGCAUGGUUGUCGUCAGCUCGUGUCGUGAGAUGUUGGGUUAAGUCCCGCAACGAGCGCAACCCUCGUUCUAUGUUGCCAGCACGUAAUGGUGGGGACUCAUAGGAGACUGCCGGGGUUAACUCGGAGGAAGGUGGGGAUGACGUCAAAUCAUCAUGCCCCUUAUGUCUUGGGCUUCACGCAUGCUACAAUGGCCGGUACAAAGGGUUGCGAUACUGUGAGGUUGAGCUAAUCCCAAAAAGCCGGUCUCAGUUCGGAUUGGGGUCUGCAACUCGACCCCAUGAAGUCGGAGUCGCUAGUAAUCGCAGAUCAGCAACGCUGCGGUGAAUACGUUCCCGGGCCUUGUACACACCGCCCGUCAAGUCACGAAAGUUGGUAACACCCGAAGCCGAUGGCCUAACCCCUUGUGGAGGGAGUCGUCGAAGG